rnacentral:rRNA from 1 species
CCAAUAGCGUAUAUUAAAGUUGUUGCAGUUAAAAAGCUCGUAGUUGAAUUUUAGGCCUGGCCGGGCGGUCCGUCUUUGGCGAGUACUGUCCUGUGUCGGGUCCACCUUCUGGUGAACCAGUAUGUCCUUUAUUGGGUGUGCCGGGGAGCCAGGACCAUUACCUUGAAAAAAUUAGAGUGUUUAAAGCGGGCAUUUGCUUGAAUAGAUUAGCAUGGAAUAAUAGAAUAGGACGUUGUGGUUCUAUUUUGUUGGUUUCUAGGACCACCGUAAUGAUUAAUAGGGAUAGUUGGGGGCAUUAGUAUUCAAUUGUCAGAGGUGAAAUUCUUGGAUUUAUUGAAGACUAACUACUGCGAAAGCAUUUGCCAAGGAUGUUUUCAUUAAUCAAGAACGAAAGUUAGGGGAUCGAAGACGAUCAGAUACCGUCGUAGUCUUAACCAUAAACUAUGCCGACUAGGGAUUGGACGAUGUUAAUUUUUUAAUGACUCGUUCAGCACCUUACG